rnacentral:lncRNA from 7 species
AAAAGUAUGGGCAGCAGUGAUCCAGACAGCUGGUGUUUUGGAAAGAAACCUAUAACACCAAAUUGUUAAUACCUGUCAAACUGGGAUGAUCAGAAAAUGCAGUAGAGGCAUCCACUCUUGGCCACAGCUGAUGAGGAAAUACCAUGCUGAUGCAUCUUUUGCCUGAUAGAUCUAACUGCUCUUGCAGGUCUGCUGUGUGUGUGGUAAACAUGCCCAACUGUGCUGUGAAGCUGGAGGCGGAGCUUCAGAAAGUUAUUAUUUUGGUCCUUUCUUUGGAACGCUUCCUCCAGCGCAUGAGGGACUCUGAAUCACCUAGAACUGCUCUGUGCUGCAGGGACUUGAAUUUGCUGUUUGGGCAAGAGGCACCAGUACUUCUGCCUCCUUCUGAGGCUGGUUUGGUGACUAUGGACACAGAGCUUUCUGGCAAUGGAAAUGUCUUUCAGAGUUCUGUAACGUGCAUUGGAUAGCUCGGUGGUGGAUGUGAUGGCAAUUUAAUAUUAAGGCGUCUGAUAUGACAGCCGUGACAGAGCAAGUGGCCCUCUAAUGGGUAACAACGAUGGCCUUCCUCAUCAUUGAGCUGCAAGCCACAAUCCUAGAAGAAAAACAUACAUCCCAGUUUUAUGAGUGAUUCAGUAAGAAAGUCCAGUUCUUCAGUGGAUUUCAGUUUUAGAAUGAGAAUCUAUUGAGGUUUCGCUGCAGCUGUUAAGCUGUCACACCAGGAAGAGAUGACACAGAAAAGUAGAAAAGUUUCCAAGCUUGACUACUGACUGUGCACGAUGAACAGAUGGUGGAUGGCAACUAAAUGACAUUUCAUAGAAACCGGACAUUUGCAAAGUGUCUGUGUGAAUACCUCAGAAUACUGGUACUGACUGAACUAGCGUAUCUGGAGACAGCAGUGACCUGGCGUGUACAGUUUGAGAGCCCAAUUUGAGGCUAUUAGGCAGUAACCUACCCCUGCUAACACAUGGCUAACCCCCUGAUUACUGUACAUAAAUGUACUCUGCCAUUCUCAGCAGAUGUGGAAGCAGCUUAAUUUGCCUCAAACUGGAAAGAGAAUGGGGAAAUGAAUAAUGAAACAGAACAGAAAAUAAACCCCCAUUGGGACAUUCUAAUAUAACAUCAAUAGCCUGAGAAAGAAGGGGAGGGAGCUGUCAUCUUAAGUGAAGCCUGCACAAAGCAAUAGUUGAGGGAAGAAGGGAGGGAAAUACAGCUCUCCACAUGCUGAAAUGUGCUAUGCCAAUUUAUCUUGAGGUAUCAGCUACCUCUGUUGGAAGGAGCUGGCUAAGUGCAUAGGCUACUCAGAUGUAGGUUCACAUACAUUUCAGGAUGCCUUGAGUUUUGCUAUCCUUCUCCUUCAAUUGGAAACCUCUUUAUAACUGUUUUUGACCUAGAUUGCAUGAAAGGUUAAUAUCAAAUUAAAGAGUUUUUCUCCUUCCUCAUACUCCUGGGAUGCACAGAUAAUACUCAACUGAACUUUUCUCCCUGUGAAGCAAGAGCACUAGUCCCAGAUCUUGAUCUGCUCCAAUAAACGUUUAAAUGUUCUG